UAACAGGGUCUCAAAAUUGUCCAUUGACAAGACAGGUGCUACCCUACGUCUUCAUAUCCCCCCCGGUCCUUCAGAUGGAUCCAUCCAUGUAUUUUCCGAGGCAACGCGGGAAAAAGGAGAAGAAAAUAAAUAACGACAGAAAAAGCAAAGUGCCUGAAAGGGGAAGAAAUAAACGGAGAAAUAAAAAAACAAAACAACAAAUAUCUCUGAGCGGUGCUAAAAAAUGUUUGAAGCAGAAACAAUAGUCAUUCAAAAGUGACGUCAUUACCAUCGUUGUUAAUGCCAGUUCAGGUAAAGUCAUGCUCGCUGCAGGCUGAUAUGUUAGGCCUGCUUGCUGUGGAGGAAUGAGGUGGAGAGUUGGAGGAAAUAAUGGCGUUACUGUGGCGGAAUGAGAAGCAGCAGCAGCCUGGCAGCCUGGGUCCAGAAGAAAGACCUCACUGCAGGUGACACAGGCAGUGUGACAGCACUGUAGCAGCAAGAGAAGGAUCCCGGUGACCAUCUGAAACCAAUUAUGGCGGCGCUGCAGCCACCCAGAAACUCAGUGACGGAUGGGGAUCUUGUAUUUAUAGCUGGGGCCUCACUCGGCCAGUAGAAACCCCAGAACUCCGUGUGAACCUGCUGAAAGGGAGGUGGGCGUCUGGCCUGGGUAAACACAGGGAAUAAAACCCUUUUGAACUUAUUCUGGGUCACGCCUAUGGCCACUUGCUCUACGCCUUGCCUCACUGCCACCUCACAACCUCGGGGAGGCAGUUACUGCUGUAAUUGGCACUUAAUUAGUUAAUUGACCCCAGUGUUGCGGGGAAGUAGGGUAACAUGGGGACGUGGGGCUCUGGGGGCCGCAGGUGAGGGGUGGAGAGGAUUGGCCCAAGGUGCUUCCUGUGUCACAUCACCAGCGGAGGUACCCAUCAACCCCUUUGAACCGGGACACAAACACUGGAAACACUUUCAUCGGGCCGAUGUGUCAUCACAGCCGGGUCCCAUGUAUAUGUAUGGGACCGUCUGAAAAUAUACAAAGUCCAAUUUGCCCGGGACAGACCAACCUCAGGAUAAUGAAUCACAUGUGAAGUGUAUCUGAUAUGCAGCCUGAGUCAUCACCAGAUGUUUCAACAGGAUUACUUCCAGUUCUGGAAAGGAGCAAUGAAGUUUCAAAGAGUAACCAACAAGAAAGACAAAAAAGAAGUCAACAAACAUUUGUUCCCUCAGAGAAAAUACGUUGAUAAAAAAUUGUCUUGCAAGGAUCUCUGUGCAUCUGAAAAGAAGAGUUAAGUGUUUCUUAUGGCUGUAAUUGGAGGUACACAUGCCAGUGAGAGGAGUUUUGAGGUCAAGUACAAAAGAGGAAGUAACUCGGGCACUAGGCCUUCAGAUAAAAGCUUACAGGUGGAACUAAGUACAGUCCUACACAUGUAAGCAAGCUGUGCCGCCUGUUCGUUCUGGUAUUUGCUUGUAUGUGGGAAAUGCAGCUCCCAGCACAUAAUGUGUUUGCUCAGUCAAAGCAUAGCAUUUACUCUGGAUAACAUGCCCCAUCUCUUUCACUUGAUAAUAACACAUAUGAACAUGUGUGAAAUUGUGAACCCAUAACUAUGCUCUCUACCUGCUGUUCUUUCUCCUUCUCUUCUCUUUUCUCAUACACUUGCAAAAUAAGCAACAUUUCUUGAAUUUAAAACAUCCUACUUCCUGUUUUGGUAGACAUCAAUAACUUUUUUUUUUGACUAGUGGGAGGUUUGAUCUGUGUGUGAAUCUGCGUGUGGGUUCCUGCGUUUGCCCCUGUGUUUGCACCCAUGUGUGUGCAUGAGAGAGGGGCGCCCAGCAGGCUGUGUUGUUGUAGGUGAGGGUGAGGAGCCCCCCGAUGGGCAGCUGUGGCAGAGAGGCCAGCUUUGAUCAAAAGCCCAAGAGGAGG